rnacentral:lncRNA from 1 species
AACACAGAAUGCUGAGGGCUUUUAUUAUCUGAAGUUUUUUAAGAGGGCUUAGGUAAAUGGAGACUGUUUUGUUCACUGUAGUCUCUGCGGUGAAGGGAGAUCCAGGUCACCAUUGCUCAAUUAUUUUUAUUGACAGUGCAAAGAGGGUAUUAAAGGACACCAUUAGAUUUUAAUAGGUUUCUGUAUUUGCUCAGCAUCUGGUUUGCAUUAGUGCAAAUGGAUGUACUUCUUGUUUUCUGAAAGUAGUACAAGCUGUGGCAUUUGUCUGCUUCCUUUUUGGUGUUCCUUUCCUUUUACUUUCAGAGCCACAGCUCAGGACAGAUUUGACUCAGUGAUAAGCCCUUAGCUUAACCAAAAGAAACCUUCCCACAGUGCAUAUGAGGCAGAAGUCACCUUUCUGCUGAGGGACAUCAAUGACUUUAGAAAAGCCAGCAAACCAAAGAAAGCACUGAGGCAGCGUUUUUGGGCCGUGGUAGCCAACAUCUAACACUGCAUGUUGUCCCAUAGACCGGCCAUGGGAACUUGUGCUGGUACUGGCCUAAACAUGCAUGGAAACACCUACACCAAAACCUCCUUAUUGCCUUGUGGUCAAUUCUUUUAGGGCUCAAAGAAACGAUCCCUCAUGUCACCUCAAACACCACACAGGACACCUGAAGCCUCAGACUGUCCCAGCUCUCUGCUGCUCAUAGACUGUCCUUCAUGUUUCUUCCUCUGGUCACCAGACAGCUAAAGGAAGGAGUAUGCAAAAAACCUGGAACUGAAGAAUAUAAAAGGAAAGCAACAACACUUGCAAACAUAUCAGAACCAACAAAUUACUCUACCACUAGUACUAAAAGAUUGUGCUGGCAUGACCAGUGAUGAGUAAAGAUUUUUGAAUUUGUUAUAGUAAAACCUUAUUCCCAUUCCCAUAUGGGUCACAAGAAGUUCAACACAGUAGAUGCUUAAACACAGCAGAAUGUUGUCUUCUUAAAUGAUAAUUUGCUUAGUGGUAAAGAAGCCAAAAAAAAGGUGAUUUUAUACUCCUAUUUUCUAUAAAAUAUGUGAUUGUUUUUAUGAUAGUUUUACUUUGUUUUAUUGCUUUCAUAUGGUUCUUGUAAUAAAUUUUCAUCCUUAUAUUUGCCA